UUUGGGAUUUUGAGCGCCGUCUUGAGAGGUUGUAAAAGCAAACAUUUUUCCCUUUUAAUGUCUUCUUGUAAGAUAACUUCAUGAGAUCUUAGGAACCCAGUAGGUUGUAAAACUAUUGACUUAAGAUCUUUGGUUUUUGUUAUAGUAGUAACCAUUGGUCUCCAUAUUUUGUGUAGGCUCCUCAAUUUUUUUCUAAUUCUUUCAUGAGGUGUACAGGUUUUACCAAAAUAUUUUAGUUCAUUAACAAUGAGUGUAAGUCUUGAAUACAUCUCGUCGAUAGUUUCAUCUUCGAUUAUUUCAAAAGUUUCAAACUUUCAAACUCCCAUGUCUAUCCUUGCUUCUUUAACAUGGAUGGAUCCUUCAUAGUGAGUUAUUGUUUUUCCUAUAUUUCUUUUCUCUUUUGCCUUCUUCUAUUUUAUCAUACUCUGACAUGCUCAAAGCACACGUUAUAAAUAAUUAGGUUUUUUGCUUAUUUAAAAGUACCUUUGUUUUGUCAUUUGUUAUCCACGGUACUUUGGGUUGGUCAUCAGAUGCAGAAUCAUCUUCAUUUGUAUUUGGUAUGUAAUCUCCACUUUCAAUUAGCUUGAGUUAUCAAAAAUAGUUUCAUUUUUCCUUUUCAAAAGUAUUAAUCACUUCCAUCAAAGUAUGGAGGUUUUUUAGAUGAGCUUCCUUUAGGUAUAUAUAUAUUUUGCAAUUUUAGACAUCGCUUGCUUCCUGGAUCUAUCCUCUUACUUUAUUAAAUGCUCAACCUUUUAGAGGAAAAACUCUGAUACCAAUUAAACUGGAAUGAACAAUAACAAGAAAAGAAUGAAUAAUAACUGAUACUUUAUAAAUUUGUUCUUGCACUUAAAAUUAAUUUCCUUUCUCAAGAAAACGCUUGGAAAAAUAAAAGUAAUGAACAUGAGAAUUUCUAAUUAGUAAUGCAAAUGGAAGAUAAUGAGUAAGAGAUUGAGAGAUAGCACACCACAAUUUAUACUAGUUCACCCAAAAAUAGGCUACGUCCCAUCAUUGCCCUUGGUGAGAUUUUUCUCUAUGUCUUUCUUUAGAACGCUAUGUUGUUAUGAGAUUUUAUUUAAAUCAACCUUAAUCAAUUACAAUAUUUAUAUUUUCAGCAACAAAAGCCUUAUAAUUCAUGUUUUAAUGCUUCACUCAGACUUUCCAAAUAUUUUACUCAAACUAACUUUAACACAAGAAAGUUUGCAUAAUGUUACAAGUAAAUGAAUUGUGUUUGUGCGAUCUAAGCAUCACUCAAGUGUUUUGAGAUAAUAUGAUAACAAGAGCUGGAGUGUGUUUGAUUUGAAGAGAGCUUUGAUUGAUAAUGCACUUGAAUAAAUGGAUUAUGAGCUUGAAUAGACUUGAAACUUUGAAAUCUUCAAGUAUUUAUAGAUGAAAUGAGCUUAAGAAUGGUCUUGAAACAAAAAUAUGUUGUUGGACACGUUUCCCUAAAAAUUUGGAAAUCAAUUAACUUAGUUCUUUAAGCUUUGUAGUGAUCCUUCUUCGGAUUAGAACAUUCAACUAGACUAUGUAUUUGGUGCAAAACGUGGUCAGAACCUUUAUCUUGCUUUUAAGACCCCUAUUAAGACACCUAUUCCCAAAGUUGUGUUGGCAACGCUUUUAUCCUUUAUACCGAAGGUCGAUCAUCAUCAAGAAUUGAAUGAUUAUAGACCGAUUUGUUUGUCAGAAGCUUGUAUAAAAUUAUAUCAAAAUUACUUGUUGCAAGGUUAAAUAAGGUGAUUGGAUCAGUGAUUUCUCAUUACCAAACUGCUUUUGUUCCGGAACAAAAAAAAUUGGAUGGGAUAUUGGUUUAAAACGAUGUAAUUGAUCCUAUAAAAUGAAGGAAAGGUAAAUGCUCUUUGUUAAAGGUUGAAUUUGAAAAGGUGUAUGACUGUGUGAGUUAGGUCUAUUUGGAGUGUAUGUUAAUUAGGUUUGGUUUUGGAGAGUAAAGGAUUCAAUAGAUUAAGGCAUGUAUCUUUGCCAGUAGCCUUUUUGUUCCCGUUAAUGGCAUCCCAACUAAAGAGUUUACUAUUGGUCGAGGGCUUCGACAAGGUGACUCGUUAGCUCUCUUCUUAUUUGUAAUCCCAUUUGAAGUACUUUAUGGCUUGACACAAAAGGUCGUGGAGUAAUCUAUGGAGCAUUAAAAUCAUUCUUAGGAGUUUCGAAUUGGUGUUCGGUUGGGUGGUGAACCUAUUUAAAAGUAAGAUGUAUGGCUUGCAUUUGGGGAAUGGUUUCUUAGAGACUGCAUAUUGGCCUUUUCUGUUGUCGCAUUGAAUCUGUCCCUUUUAAAUUGUGUUAGGCUUCUGUUGGUGGUAGUCCCAGGAGGUACAAUAUGUGGAACCCAGUGAUCGAAAACAUGAAGAAAAGAUUAUCUUCUUGGAAAGGAAGGCAUUUCUCCAUUGGUGGAUGGGUAACAUUGAUAAACUCAGUGUUAAAUAGUAUUCCUCUUUGUUACAUUUCAUUUCCAGGUUAGCCAGAAAGGUUUUUAAACAUCUUAGGGCCAUUUAACACAAUUUUCUUUGCGGAAGUUGUGAUAGUUCAAUCAAUAUUUGUUGGAAGAGUUGGAUAGAUAUAUGCAAUUCUAAGGCUAUUGGUGGUCUUGGAGUAAAAGAGCUUAAUCUUUUAAAUGUAGCAUUACUCAAUAAAUCAAAGUGGAGUAUUCUUAAUGGUCGAAAGGCUAUAUGAAAAAAUUUAAUGAUAUCAUGAAGUACUUGGUAUUAAGUCUAGUAUGUACUUGUUGAUUGAAUCAACAACUUGUAUUGUCGAGGUCAAAAUUGCUCUGCACUACAAGAAAUUCACAUUUGUGUAAUGUUGCAUUAAGUUGGGAUAUUUGCUUUUAACUAUGGCAUCAAGUGGGUCGUUAAAACUUGUAAUCAAUAAAUCAUCUGGUAUUUUAAUUUUUGCAUAACCAUCAUUUGGCUCUUCUAGUUUACAAUCUCCAACUUUGAAGAUUCAUUCAAAGAAAGUCUUCAAAUCGUCUACAUUUGGAUUUUGGAGUGAUGGUUGUAAUCGCAUGUUUUUUAUUAGCAUCAACACAUGACUAUGAUCCCAUAUAUAUGAAGAAUUUAUUGUAGCAUUUGAUAAUAUCAAAUUGAUUUCCCCUUGGGAUAACAGGGAUAAUUUUUCUAAAAUCACCACCAAAUACCACAACUUUUCCUUCAAAUAUAUGAUCAUUAGAGCUUGUGUCACUCAUUAUAUCUUUCAAAGUUUUAUCUAGAGCCUCAAAGAAAAAUUUGUGAGCAAUUGGAGCUUCAUUCCAAAUGAUCAAUUUUGUAACUUUUAGUAAAUCAACAAGUUCACUAUUUUGUUCAAUAUUGCGUGUUGAUGACUCUAGUGUAGGAACAAGAAUCUUGAAUUUGGAAUGUGCGGUUCUUCCUCCUGAAAGUAAAAAUGAUGCUAUUCCACUUGAGGCCACAGUUAACAUAAUUUCCUUCCUUGAACUCAAUCUGGAAGCCAAAGUAUGCCACAUGAAAGUUUUUUCUGUUCCACCAUAACCAUAUAGGAAAAAAACAACUCCUCCUCUAUGAUUGUCUACAUCUUAUGUGAUAGUUUGAAAAAUUGUCCUUUGCUCAUCUAAGUAUUUGAUUAUUUGCUUAGUGGAAUGUAUAUUUGUGUAGAAUAGAUUAACAAAGCCAAGUAUUGGUUAAAAGAUAUAAACUAAUUAAUUUCAUAAGUUUUGCAUAAGUUACCUAUAAGGGAUCCAUAAAAUUGAUGGAAUUGUUGAA